rnacentral:rRNA from 1 species
CCUACGGGUGGCUGCAGUGAGGAAUAUUGGUCAAUGGGCGGAAGCCUGAACCAGCCAAGUAGCGUGCGGGAUGAAGGCCCUACGGGUCGUAAACCGCUUUUGUACGGGGAUAACACCCUCCACUUGUGGAGGUCUGCAGGUACCGUGCGAAUAAGGGCCGGCUAAUUCCGUGCCAGCAGCCGCGGUAAUACGGAAGGCCCGAGCGUUAUCCGGAUUCAUUGGGCUUAAAGGGAGCGUAGGCGGGCGUUCAAGUCAGCUGUAAAAUCGCGCGGCUCAACCGCGCCCCGCAGUUGAAACUGGACGCCUUGAGUUCACAACAGGCAGGCGGAAUUCGUGGUGUAGCGGUGAAAUGCAUAGAUAUCACGAGGAACCCCGAUUGCGAAGGCAGCUCACUGGACUGCAACUGACACUGAGGCUCGAAAGUGUGGGUAUCAAACAGGAUUAGAUACCCUUGUAGUC